rnacentral:rRNA from 1 species
GGGGAAUUUUCCGCAAUGGGCGAAAGCCUGACGGAGCAAUACCGCGUGAGGGAGGAAGGCUCUUGGGUCGUAAACCUCUUUUCUCAGGGAAGAACACAAUGACGGUACCUGAGGAAUAAGCAUCGGCUAACUCCGUGCCAGCAGCCGCGGUAAUACGGAGGAUGCAAGCGUUAUCCGGAAUGAUUGGGCGUAAAGCGUCCGCAGGUGGCGAUGUAAGUCUGCUGUUAAAGAGUCUAGCUCAACUAGAUAAGAGCAGUGGAAACUACAUAGCUAGAGUACGUUCGGGGCAGAGGGAAUUCCUGGUGUAGCGGUGAAAUGCGUAGAGAUCAGGAAGAACACCGGUGGCGAAGGCGCUCUGCUAGGCCGUAACUGACACUGAGGGACGAAAGCUAGGGGAGCGAAUGGGAUUAGAUACCCCAGUAGUC